AAUCAGUUUUUUCACUUCACUUAUAGACUAUAAUGUUAAUUUUUUUGCAAUAUCUGUUGGGUUAUUAUGCAGCUGCCUGAAUAGCAGUAUUAACCCACUGAUUUAUUUCCUGAUUGGGAGAAACAAGAGGGCUCGAUCUAGGGAGAGCAUGAAGGUCAUAUUCCAGAGACUUUUCAAAGAGGAGGAAAACUGCAGAGAGGAACAAGAAGUUCCAGUUCAAACCUGGAUGUGAAGAAAUACUUCAAGAUAGCUCAGAAAGCUUCAUUUUCUAUCUCUUGGUGUAUUUCUUGGUACUUGUUUUCCUCUGUACUCACUAUUUUAUUAUUUUGGAUUCAUUUACUCUGUUAAUUUUUGUCCUCUUUUCAGGGGUAUCCUUAAAAGCCCCUUGGAUUGCCCAUUGGGCAGGAUUAAUAUUUCGUAUGUUUUAGAAAAUGAAAUAAAAAUAAAUGCCGCUUUAACAGUGUGAGUUGAGUGGGAUGACUUGCUAAAUGGUAUAGAAAACAGACUCAUUGCCAAAAGGAAUGAAGUAAAGAAAUCUUCACAUGUAGAGCUCGAAUGUUUGAAGAAAACAGAAGAAAAUGUUUCUCCCAGAUUUUAUAAAAGGUGCAUGAUAGAACAUUCCACCAGUACAAUCCCUAUUUUCUGUGCUAUUUUUCUAGAAAAAUAGGUGCAGAAACUCACAAUAAAGGCCUCCCUUGUUCUCUUAUAAUUGCAACAGCAUGCACCUGAGAAGCGCUGGAACUCAGUUCCAGUUAGUUAUGGCUGAAAAAGAGCACUGCUUAUUAUAUGGAUGUAGUGAUAUAGAAAUUAUAACUAUGUGCAUAUAAAAAUAUACAAUGUUCUGCCAUCUACACCUUUAUGGGGCAAUGUGACAAUUAGCAGAAGUGAUUCAUGACAUCAAUGUUUCUCCAUCUUUCCAAUAAAGUUUUUUUGGGGUAAACCAGAGGAUACGGGGGGGGGGGGGUUCUCUUCUCUGUAUCGUUCCAAUUUUAGUAUAUGUGCUGCCGAAGCGAGCACUGUCUUUCUCUCUCUCUCUCUCUAUGUGUGUGUGUAUGUGUGAUUAAUGAACGUUAAUAUGAUGCUUCAAAAGAGAGGAAUUAACUUGCUGUUGGACUGCUGAAGAACGAUAGAGCCCAAGGACUGAGAACUGAAUCUGGUCGAGAUCCAGAUCUUCAAUCAUCCCCAUAAUAUUUUGGAAUGCCUUUGCAUAUCAUUACUGCAUAUAUAGUUACUUUCCCCAUAAUAUCAGUUUUAGUUUUGAUGCUUUUCUAAGUGUCUCCUCUCACAGGAAACACCCAACUAUCUUCUGCAGAAGUUCAAGCAAGAUAGCUCUGGUGGCAGAUAACAAGGUCCUGGCAUUUAACGCUCCUGAACAUGUUCCCAGUACAGUCAUACAUCAGGUUACAGAUGCUUCAAGUUGUGUUUUUUGGGGUUACCCAUAUGCCAAAACCCGGAAGUACUGGAACAGGUUACUUCUGGGUUUCGGCGGUUGCGUGUGCGCAGAAGCGCUAAAUCAUGCUUUGCGCAUGCGCAGAAGCACCGAAUCGCAACCCACGCAUGCACAGACGCACUGCUGCAGGUUGCGAAUGCUGCGGGUUGCGAAAGUGCAUCCUGCAUGGAUCACAUUCACAACCCAAGCAUCCACUGUAUACCCUUCUCAUACAGAGUCUUCUAUAUCACAUAUUUAAGUCUCAUGUGCAGUAGUAUCAAGCUGAUACUUCCCAUGUUUGGGCUCCUGUACUCAAAACUAUACCACCAUUGCAUAAGAGGCAUGUUUUGUGUAGCACUGAGAGGGGCAUAAAAACCCCAGAAUAACCCAAAGAAAAUUCAGUGGAAUUGGGUAUGGAAUGACUGAAUGGAAAAAACUAAGAACCAGGUGGAAGAGAGCAUGAUGUAGGUCUCUCUCUCUCUCUCUCUCUCUCUCUCACACACACACACACAGAGAGAGAGAGAGAGAGAGAGAGAGAGAGAGAGAGAAAGAAAUACUAUCUCUUGUUCUGGCUAGAUUUCAGCCUUAUUCAGAUUGAGCAGAUAUUUUUUCCCCCUCUACCAGGACUUCGACCGCCCGUAAACCUGUUACAGGUACUUGUUCUACUCUGAACUCAGUCUCUUAUUAUUAUAAAUUUAUUUGUUAAUAUCCACAGGUUGUAUAUCUCUGGGGAGACAUAGAGGUAAACCCUCUUUUCAUUAUUUUAAACUGCAGAAUUAUAUAUUAAUAUUAUUUUUUGAAUUUAUAUACUGUCCUAAAAAUCUUCCAAUUAAUGACAAAUCAAAGCAAAUCAUUCCAUAUUACAAUAAUAGCAAUACCACCAAUGAUAAAUUCCAAUUAUUAAAAAAAUUCAAAAGGGAACUCCCCAUGCUCCAGAUGUCUACAGAUAUUGUCCGCAUUAAAGUCUCUGCAUUCUUCACUAUUUUCCAUUUUCAUAACUCUGAUUUUAACCGUGCUUAUCUUCUAAAUCCAUCAGUCGCUGUUUCUGUGACUCACUAUCUUUCUAAACAGUUCCUUAGAUUAUGAACACACAGGAGGCAUUUCUUAUUCCAUAUUAUACUCUAUCCAAUUAUUUUUGAAGUGCAGUCCUCUUUCUUUGAUCUCUCCUUCGUUCUUCGUAUUCUUGUUAAGGCUCUCGGCUUUGUUCCAAAGUUGAAGUUGGUGGCAGCCCCAUUAUAUAUGACACCAAACUGGGAGGGGUGGCUAACACCCCAGAGGACAGGAUCACACUUCAAAACGACCUUGACAGAUUAGAGAACUGGGCAAAAACAAACAAGAUGAAUUUUAACAGGGAGAAAUGUAAAGUAUUGCACCUGGGCAAAAAAAAUGAGAGGCACAAACAGUGGCGUAGCGUGGGGGGUGCAGGGGGGCCGGCCGCACCGGGCGCAACAUCUGGGGGGGCGCUGGCACUCGCAGCUCUCUGCCCCUACCUGGCUCACUCACUCUCUCUCACUGCAGUGCUGGCUGUGCGAAUCCGAUCCGAGCUGCCGGGUCGCCGCCCACUGUGGAGGGGGGGUGCCAGGCAUGCGUGUUAGGGGGCGCAAAUUACUUGCCUUGCCCCGGGUGCUGACAACCCACGCUACGCCACUGGGCACAAAUACAAGAUGGGUGACACCUGGCUUGAGAGCAGUACAUGUGAAAAGGAUCUAAGAGUCUUGGUUGACCACAAACUUGACAUGAGCCAACAGUGUGACGUGGCAGCUAAAAAAGCCAAUGCAAUUCUGGGCCUCAUCAAUAGGAGUAUAGCAUCUAGAUCAAGGGAAGUAAUAGUGCCCCUAUAUUCUGCUCUGGUCAGACCUCACCUGGAGUACUGUGUCCAGUUCUGGGCACCACAGUUCAAGAAGGACACUGAUCAAACUGGAACGUGUCCAGAGGAGGGCAACCAAAAUGGUCAAAGGCCUGGAAACGAUGCCUUAUGAGGAACAGCUAAGGGAGCUGGGCAUGUUUAGCCUGGAGAAGAGGAGGUUAAGGGGUGAUAUGAUAGCCAUGUUCAAAUAUAUAAAAGGAUGUUACAUAGAGGAGGGAGAAAGGUUGUUUUCUGCUGCUCCAGAGAAGCGGACACGGAGCAAUGGAUCCAAACUACAAGAAAGAAGAUUCCACCUAAACAUUAGGAAGAACUUCCUGACAGUAAGAGCUGUUCGACAGUGGAAUUUGCAGCCAAGGAGUGUGGUAGAGUCUCCUUCUUUGGAGGUCUUUAAGCAGAGGCUUGACAACCAUAUGUCAGGAAUGCUCUGAUGGUGUUUCCUGCUUGGCAGGGGGUUGGACUCGAUGGCCCUUGUGGUCUCUUCCAACUCUAUGAUUCUAUGAUUCUAUGAAUCUACAAUUCUAUGAUUCCAUGAUUCUAUGAUUCUAUGAUAUGUUUUGGGUUUGAUGCGUUUAUAACUGUCUCCUCUGACAGGAAACACCCAGAAGUUCAAGCAAGAUAGAUCUGGUGGUAGAUAACAAAGCCCUGGCAUUCAACCCUCAAGAGCAUGUGCCCAACAUACCAUUCUCAUACAAAGUCUUCUAUACCACAUAUUUCAAUCACAUAUGCCGUAAUAUCGAGUUGAUACUUCCCAUGUUUGAGCUGCUGUAGCAUAAAAGACAUAAAACCCCUAGAACAACCCAAAGAAAACUCAGUGGAAUGAGAUAUUGAAUGAGUGAGUGUGGAAAAAACUUAGACCUUGAUGGAAGGCGGCAUGCGGUAGGUCUCUCUCUCUCUCUCUCUCUCUCUCACACACACACACACACACACACAAAACACACACACAAUCCCUUGAUCUGGCUAGAUUACAGCCUUAUUCAGACAGAAUUAUUUUUUUCUUUGUCGCCAAGAUGAAAUGAAGAGUACUUGAUAUCAAUAAAUAGAGGCUUUAAAGAACUGGUGCAUAUGGGAUCGGACAGAAGUGUUCCCACGCCCCACCAAAAAAAGUAGAUUGGCCUCCCACACAUGUCAAAGCUUUCCCAAGGGGGUUGGAAAAUUAAGGUGACUAAGGCCUGCCAGCAGGACAUCACGGGGGAGGAGAGUACUGUUGUGUUCAGAAGCUGUUGUGGUCUUCCUUGAAGCAUCUGUUUGGUCAUUAUGAGACCAGGACAAUUGACUACAAGGGCCACUGAACUGAUCUAGCAGGACUCUCUUUUUUGUUCUUCAGAUACAUUUCUCCACCCCAGCCUACGUUCUUCCCCUGCAGAACCAACCACAAGCUGAUUUCUCUCUGAAUACACUGGUUAGUCUUUCUGUUAAUGGGUCAGGUGACAGUCUAAUCAAUAAAGAUGUUUCUCCAGAUAGGGACAAAGAGAAGUUGGACUUGCUUACCACUUGCAAACUCUCUCUUCUCAAGAGUGCUUGCUUGGUGCACUGAACUUUAGAAGGCAAGAGUCUCCUCCUGAGUUUGCCAAAUGCUAUCCUGAGACCCAAUGCACAAAGCAACCAGCUUAUCACACGAUGCUGGCAAAUGGAUUAAACAGAACUGAAGACACAUGGGCAGAAUCCUACACAUCUUGCUAAGAACCAGAUGAGGCAUCUUAACAAUUUCUGAUUAUCUUCCUAUUACCUGCUUAUUCCAGCACCACUUGCUGCUCCCACUCACCAUGCUGGAGGGAUGCUGAUCCAAAGCUUUUGAGAGCAAUGCGAAUAGCUACUUUUGAUGUCAUUCAUUAGCAAAGGUAAGAGGGGAUCUGUAGCUGAAUGGCAAUGCUGUGCACCUUUGGCUUAUAGGGGGGGGUAAGCUAACUCCCUGGAGUGUUCUGUUAGAAGGAUACCAGGUGGAUGGCUGGUGAAGACGGCAGGGAUUUUUGGUUCCCACAUCCAGUCAGAGCAGCAAGUACUAGGCAGGAUAGAGUAAUGGUUUGUCUAAUACAUUCCACAUUGUAAAAAUCUUGCUGUCUGGCUAAUCUAUUGUGGUUUUUUUCCUUCUAAUUUUCAUAUUUCUUAAUAAUCCCAAUUCAACUUGUGUUUUAUUUAUCCACUUUUGUUCAAAACCACAUUUUAAGAACAAUAAAAUUACACAUGCCUUCCCAAUUCAUUCUAGCUUUUGUUUCCCGAAUCACAAGAGCUGUUCAACUCCUUCUCACACUCCUCUUCACCAACACCCAACCAACCAAUGUCCGUGACACAAGAGGUUAGUUUCUGAUCUUAAGGCUGAGUCAGAGAGCAGAAAAGGAGAAUUUGAGUUCUAAAACAAUAUGCUUACUGAUGUUGUGAAUGUCAUUUUUUUACUCAGAGCAAAAGAUCCACAACACAUCGGCAAACUCCAUUUCCCCCCUGAGCCUUUGAAACUGAUAAGUUGUGGCAAACAUUCCAAUGACUAUAUUCCUAAAGUGUUCAUCAGUCAUGAAUUCCCACUAUAGCAUGUCUCUUUUGUUAUUGUUUGAGUGUCUCAGUUUCAUAUGGUUGAGCUUUACAGCUAAAACUGACUCCACAUUUGUUUAUUUUCUCUUGUUAGAACUAUACAAGAAAAGCCCAAAAGUCCAGAUACAGCAAGAUGAGCAAUGAUGGCCUGGGAUCCUGGUCCACUUUGAAUGCUUCAUUGGAAGAUAUUGGAGCAGAAAAUGAAAAUGACUUCCUAACCCCCCAGGAUGGUUUCGAUCACCAAUUAUCACCAUAUGAUAUAGCAGACAUUCUUAUCUCCAUCUCCAUUGUACUUAUUAGCAUUUUUGGAAUCAUUGGGAAUGGAACUGUCAUCUGGUUUCUUGGUUUUUGCAUGAAGAGGAAUCCUUUCACCACUUUCAUACUACAUCUGGCUGUUGCUGACCUUGGGGCUCUCAUGAGCUUACCUCCUCUUUCGAUUAUGAGAAUUUUGACUUUAUUUCCAUUCUUCACUUUUUAUAUUAACUUGUUUGCAGUAUUCGAUAAUUUGUUGUUGUUUAUGUACAACACUGGUCAAUAUCUGUUGACAGCCAUUAGCAUGGACAGGUGUGUUUCUGUCGUUUUCCCACUUUGGCAUCGAUGCCACCGACCACCACACCUUUCCACCCUUGUGUGUGCCACAAUAUGGAUCAUUUCUUUCCUGCUCACUGCAAUCAACUUGAUUGCUUCUAUUUUUAAGAUUCUACCAUAUACCAUUCUCUACCACCUUCUCAUGAAUGCUAUACUUUGCCUCCCACUCAUGACUGUUUCCACUCUGGUCCUGUUUAUAAAACUUUACUUCAGAUCACAACAGAGGAAGAAGGGAAAAGCUGUAACAGCCAUCCUACUUGCCCUCCUCUUCUUCCUCUUCUUAGCUUUCCCACUUACUUGCAUUUUAUUAAUCCGUUUUUUCACUUCACUUAUAGACUAUAAUGUUGAUUUUUUUGCAAUAUCUGUUGGGUUAUUAUGCAGCUGCCUGAAUAGCAGUAUUAACCCACUGAUUUAUUUCCUGAUUGGGAGAAACAAGAGGGCUCAAUCUAGGGAGAGCAUGAAGGUCAUACUCCAGAGACUUUUCAAAGAGGAGGAAAACUGCAGAGAGGAACAAGAAGUUCCAGUUCAAACCCGGAUGUGAAGAAAUACUUCAAGAUAGCUCAGAAAGCUUCAUAUUCUAUCUCUUG